rnacentral:rRNA from 1 species
UACGGAGGGUGCGAGCGUUAUCCGGAUUCACUGGGUUUAAAGGGUGCGUAGGCGGGAUUUUAAGUCAGAGGUGAAAGCCUGGAGCUCAACUCCAGAACUGCCUUUGAUACUGAGGAUCUUGAGUUCGGGAGAGGUGAGUGGAACUGCGAGUGUAGAGGUGAAAUUCGUAGAUAUUCGCAAGAACACCAGUGGCGAAGGCGGCUCACUGGCCCGAUACUGACGCUGAGGCACGAAAGCGUGGG